UGAAAUUUAAAAAAAACCCAACUUAGAAGGAUUGUUCAGGGUCUUAAAAUACUAUUUUGAGUUAUUAUUGAAUCAUCAAGGUAUUCUUAAAAUGAUAAGUAUUACAAUUCCAAGAGGUAAGUAUUAUAGAAUAACUUGGUUGGGUACCUAUGUAGUUUCAUAAGUUUGUUUUAAAGCAAAUGAGGUAGUUUUAAGUGAGUGAACUACUAAAUUGAGUAAGUUCAUAAAAUAAUGAAAUUUUUAGGUAGUGGAGUUCAAUCCAUGUGGAUAACUGACAUUACUUAAGUUUUGCCCUAUGGUAGAGAUAACAGGUAGUAUCAUACAAUGGAGAAUAAAAAAGUUGGAAAAUGGAGAUGAGAUUUGUUUUCUCCAGACUUGUCUGUCACCUAUAAAUUCUUCAAGAGUUACAAUAAGUUAAAAAUAUCCAUAUAAAAUUUGUUAAAAUUCUCCCUGAAUUAAAGGUUGGGUAUCUUAUAAUAAAGACAGUGACAGACGAGGAAAAGAAAAACAGAACUUGUUCAGAAUCUUCAGUUACUUUUAAUGGGUAAUGACUACUAAGUUCUAAGGCAAUCCAAGAAAUAUUUACUGAUUGAAUGAACACAUGUAUCAGUGAAUGAGAAAGAGGUUAGCUGGGAGAAAGAUACAGAAUGGUGAUUAUUCAUCAUAAAGUCUGCAGAUAUAAACAUG
rnacentral:lncRNA from 1 species